rnacentral:rRNA from 1 species
GAUACAACACCGAUGGAUGAGCUUAUGGCGUAUUAGCUAGUAGGUGAGGUAACGGCCCACCUAGGCGAUGAUACGUAGCCGACCUGAGAGGGUGACCGGCCACAUUGGGACUGAGACACGGCCCAAACUCCUACGGGAGGCAGCAGUAGGGAAUUUUCGGCAAUGGGGGGAACCCUGACCGAGCAACGCCGCGUGAGUGAAGAAGGUCUUCGGAUUGUAAAGCUCUGUUGUGAAGGAAGAACGCGCCGGAUAGGGAAUGAUCCGGCGGUGACGGUACUUUACCAGAAAGCCACGGCUAACUAC